ensembl:snRNA U4 U4 spliceosomal RNA
AGCUUUGCGCAGUGGCAGUAUCGUAGCCAAUGAGGUUUAUCCGAGGUGUGAUUAUUGCUAAUUGAAAUUAAUAAUUCCAUUUCCAAC